AUGUUACCUAAAAAACAUCUAUCUGGCUGUGAGAAAAGAAACAACAAGAAAAGAGUAGACAAGUUGAUUAAAUCUCAGGAAGGCGCUAUGGAUAUGUUUGUCUUGAGGACGGGUGCUGCUACAAAUUCAGAGCAAUUAUAUAUCACAAAUGGUGAAGAAAAACCUGAUGAUACUAAGAAUGCCGUUGAGGAAAAUCAUGUCGAGAAAAAUAAUGUUGCGGAAAAUGAUGCCGAUCAGCACACGGAAAAUUUUAGUGACCAUGAGAAUCUUGGAAAUGCAGAUGAGCAGGGUUCUUCUUUUGAUAUAUAUGAUCCUAGAACUUGGAAUAUUCUUGACAAUAAAUCAAGAGAUAUUCUCAUUGAAAAAGGACCUAUAAGGGAAUACAAUCUUGUGUUUCCCGAAGAUGAAAUUAGUGGCAGGCAUUUUUCAUAUGAUUACUACACAAGAAAGUUAAGGAAUGGCGAGUUCAGUGAUCGGAGGUGGUUAGUGUACUCUAAACACGUGAAUAAAGUCUACUGCUUUUGUUGCAAAUUGUUUAAAUCUGGAAAAAGCAAAAGUCUGCUAGCAUCCGAGGGAUUGAAGGAUUGGAGACAUCUUAGUGAGAAGCUCAAAUUGCAUGAGAAUAGUGUUGAGCAUAUCACUAACAUGAAUACUUGGAAUGAGGUAAGGCUGAGGCUAAGUAAGAAGGAAACAAUUGAUAAAGACAUGCAACAAGAGAUUGCAAGGGAGAAGGAGCGAUGGAGACUUGUUUUAAUUAGAAUUGUUGCUGCUGUGAAAUUUCUUGCUAAACAUAGUCUGGCUUUUCGAGGAUCGAAUGAGAAAUUAUAUCAAGAUAACAACGGAAAUUUUUUGGGAGUAAUUGAAAUGAUGGCAGAAUUUGAUCUUGUAAUGCAAGAGCAUCUUCGGCGCAUUAAGAAUAGUGAAAUCCAUCAUCAUUAUCUUGGCCAUAAUAUUCAGAAUGAGUUAAUUUCCCUUCUUGGUCGCACUGUUAAAUAUUCUCUGUUGAGGAUAAUUAAGGAUGCAAGGUAUUUCUCUGUCAUCUUGGACUGUACACCUGACGUGAGCCAUCAAGAACAAAUGACUCUAAUUGUGAGGUGCGUAAACAUGUCAAGUACUACUACAAAAAUAGAGGAGUUUUUUCUGGAGUUCUUGAAGGUGGAUGAUACAUCCGGACUUGGACUUUAUAAUGUGUUAAUAGAUUCACUUAAAUCUGUUGGUUUGGAUGUUAAAGAUGUUCGUGGACAAGGGUAUGACAAUGAUUCGAACAUGAAGGGAAAACACCAAGGGGUACAGAGCAGACUACUUGAAACUAAUCCAAGAGCAUUAUUCAUGCCAUGCGCUUGUCAUAGCCUGAACCUUACUCUUAGUGAUAUGGCAAAAUCUUGCGGUAAAUCUGUUACCUUCUUUGGUGUUGUGCAAAGAAUUUAUAUAUUGUUUUCAAGCUCUACUAAAAGAUGGCAGCUAUUGCUUGAUCAUGUUCCAAAAAUGACAGUUAAGUCUUUGUUGAACACUCGAUGGGAGAGUCGAAUAAAGAGUGUUCAGGAUAUCAGAUAUCAAGCACCCGAGUUAAGAAAAGCAUUACUGGAAUUGAAGAGAACUUCUACCGAUGACGCCAAGACUAAGAGCGACGCAAAAUCUUUGGCUAGCGCACUUGAGAAAUUUGAAUUUUUACUUGGCAUGGUCAUUUGGCAUGACAUUUUAUUCACUGUAAACAUGGUGAGUAAGAAGUUGCAGUCUAAGUUUGUGUGCAUUGAUGUUACUCUUAAACAGAUUGAAGGUGCCAUCUCAUAUUUUAAGAAGUACAAAAAUGACGGCUUUGCAACUAGUCUGGAUAUUGCGAGAUCUAUUGCAAUUGACAUGGGUGUACAACCUUUGUUUCCUGUCAAGAGACGUAUUACUAGAAAAAGACAGUUUGAUGAAAUUAGUGGCAAUGACGAAAAUAACCAGAAUGAAGAAACGGAAGCAAUUAAAUACUUUUUGGUGAUGAUUGAUGUUGCAAUUGCUUCCCUAACUACUAGAUUUGAGGAACUGAAGACAUUUGGGAGCAUAUUUGGUUUCUUGUUCAACUCGAAAGAGUUGAAGUCCUUGGGUGAUAAUGAUCUAAGAAGAUGUUGCACUAAUUUUGUCAACAAAUUCACUCAUGGUAAGUCAGCAGAUGUCGAUCUAAAUGAUUUCGUUUCUGAACUAAAAGUACUGCAGAUGACAUUGCCAAACACAUUCAUGUCAGCGGAUCAGAUAUUUGAGUUUGUUAGAGAUGCGGAUUGUUAUCUAAAUGUCUCAAUUGCUUAUCGUAUCCUUUUGACCGUACCUGUGACUGUUGCAUCAGCUGAAAGGAGUUUCUCAAAAUUGAAACUAUUGAAAAAUUAUUUGAGGUCAACGAUGUCUCAAGAAAGAUUGAAUGGAUUGGCCAUGUGCUGCAUUGAGAAGAAUAUGCUGGAUAGUAUUGAUCUUGACACUCUCAUUGAUGAUUUUGCGUCAAAAAAUGCACGAAAGUCUCGUUUCACAUGA
rnacentral:rRNA from 1 species